rnacentral:rRNA from 1 species
UACGGGAGGAUCCGAGCGUUAUCCGGAUUUAUUGGGGUUUAAAGGGUGCGUAGGCGGCUUUUUUAAGUCAGGGGGUGAAAGACGGUAGCUUAACUAUCGCAGUGCCUUUGAUACUGAAGAGCUUGAAUAUACUUGAGGUAGGCGGAAUGUGACAAGUAGCGGUGAAAUGCAUAGAUAUGUCACAGAACACCAAUUGCGAAGGCAGCUUACUAAAGUAAGAUUGACGCUGAGGCACGAAAGCGUGGGGAUCAAACAGG